rnacentral:rRNA from 1 species
UACGUAGGGUGCGAGCGUUAGUCGGAAUUAUUGGGCGUAAAGAGCUCGUAGGCGGUUUGUCGCGUCUGCCGUGAAAGUCCGGGGCUCAACUCCGGAUCUGCGGUGGGUACGGGCAGACUAGAGUGAUGUAGGGGAGACUGGAAUUCCUGGUGUAGCGGUGAAAUGCGCAGAUAUCAGGAGGAACACCGAUGGCGAAGGCAGGUCUCUGGGCAUUAACUGACGCUGAGGAGCGAAAGCAUGGGGAGCGAACAGG